CCCCCCCCCGGAGCAGCGGUUGCUGACUUUCUGCACCAGCAGCGCGAUUAGCCGCAGCCUGAACGGCGGGAGAACGGCCGGGCCCAGCUCCAGCACGGAGAGCGCGGCACCCGAGCCUGGAUCAGAACAAGGCAGAGUGAUCUUUAGAUUGACUAAGGGAGAUUGAGCGGGGCAGAUGCUGUUCUUCUGUACUCUGCCAAAGGAACGUGGGCCAGUGAGAAUUCCCACAGCCUGGAGGGCUCAAGCAGGAUUAUGUGGAUUCAUUGCAUGUGACAGCAGCAUCUCAUGGCCAUCUCUGAAACACUACUGCUGGAGGCCAGCAGUUAUUCAGGCCCCAAACACUCCUCUGAUUUUGUGUUUCUCUGCCGUCCAAGGUAUGGGCAGCCUUUGUCCAGGAACUGCUUGAUCCUCAAAUGCUUUACAAGAGAAAAGCUCUGCAAAGGAUUCGUGUGAAUCACUAGUGGUCCUUCAUCACAGUUUCAGGACCACUGUCAAAAUUAAGCUUAUUGCGCAGACCUGAAUCUUAGCAACAAACAGGAAUAUUGAUACAAAGAACUUGUAUCAUCAAAAGCAAAAAGUAAUUUAACUCCUCAAAUAAUGGUACUUGCUCCAGAUACUCAGCCAAACUUUUAAGAUUACAUUUGAAAGCAAAUAAAAAAAUGUUUUUAGGUAUUUUCUAUUAUACG
ensembl:lncRNA